UACGGAGGAGGCAAGCGUUAUCCGGAAUUAUUGGGCGUAAAGCGUCCGUAGGUGGCUCUUCAAGUCUGCUGUCAAAGAGUGGGGCUUAACCCUGCAAAGGCAGUGGAAACUGAAAGGCUAGAGAGCCGUAGGGGUAGAGGGAAUUCCCGGUGUAGCGGUGAAAUGCGUAGAGAUCGGGAAGAACAUCGGUGGCGAAAGCGCUCUACUGGACGGUAUCUGACGCUGAGGGACGAAAGCUAGGGGAGCGAAUGGG
rnacentral:rRNA from 1 species